AAGUCAUAACAAGGUUUCCGUAGGUGAACCUGCGGAAGGAUCAUUAAAGAGACGUUGCCCUUCGGGGUAUACCUCCCACCCAUUGUUUAUUAUACCUUUGUUGCUUUGGCAGACCCGGCUUCGGCCCACCGGCUCCGGCUGGUCAGUGUCUGCCAGAGGACCUAAAACUCUGUUUGUUAAUAUUGUCUGAGUACUAUAUAAUAGUUAAAA
rnacentral:misc_RNA from 1 species